UCUUGAGACUUAAUGUAUUUGUCAAAUUCGUCUUGCAAUACAUUAAAUCCUAUUUUAAAUCAAUUUUGUCAGGCACAGAAUCAUUGCCAAGUAGAAAGAAGACGCAGUAAUAGCUGAGUCAAGAAAACAAUAAGCCUCAAAAAGACGUUAGUUGAUAGUAGGAAAGAUUAACACGGAUUGCGACCCUCUCCCUGACUGAUUAAAGUCCUUCAAGAUGCGAACAAAAGUGACAAUUGUUUUUUGUUCAAGCGUAGAGAGUUUCUAAGUUACAAGUUACUCUAAUGCAUGCUUAUUCGCAUGCAUAUUAUUAAAAAAAUUAUUUUACCAGUUAUCUCUUCCACAUAAAAGAGGACUCCAGUGCACGUGUUUUGAUUUGUAUUUACUUUCCAGGUUGUCGAAGAUGGUUACAGAUUCUUUGAGAAAAGAAAGCUCGUGACGUUGUUCAGUGCGCCGAACUACUGUGGUGAGUUUGAUAAUGCUGGUGGUGUCCUCAUCGUCAGUAAGAACUUGAUGUGUUCGCUGAGCAUACUCAAGCCGGAUAGUUUAACGAUUAACAUCAAAGACACACCAACCCAGAAGAAGAGUGGAAGGCUAGGUCGCUCGUCCAAUCAGAUUGAAGUCCAAUAGUUUUCUUUAUUUGAGCAUUUACAUGGAUGACUUUUAUAGUUCGGUGCAGCUUAUUUACGAACAGAAGGAACACUUUCAUGGAAACAGUUUUCCUUUGUUAUUUAAGCUCCUUUUUUAAAAUUUUAUUUAUGGAGAUAUAAAUUAUAGUGCGCCACAGCCAGAUAACUUUUGUACUGCAUAUUUAUAAAAGAUUAAAUGACUCAGUCGGUGUGGUUGCA